rnacentral:rRNA from 1 species
CCCAGACUCCUACGGGAGGCAGCAGUGAGGAAUAUUGGUCAAUGGCCGAGAGGCUGAACCAGCCAAGUCGCGUGAGGGAUGACGGCCCUACGGGUUGUAAACCUCUUUUGCCGGGGAGCAAAGAGCGGGACGCGUCCCGCCUCGAGAGUACCCGGAGAAAAAGCAUCGGCUAACUCCGUGCCAGCAGCCGCGGUAAUACGGAGGAUGCGAGCGUUAUCCGGAUUUAUUGGGUUUAAAGGGUGCGCAGGCGGAAGCGCAAGUCAGCGGUAAAAAUUCGGGGCUCAACCCCGUCGUGCCGUUGAAACUGAUGUUCUUGAGUGGGCGAGAAGUAUGCGGAAUGCGUGGUGUAGCGGUGAAGUGCAUAGAUAUCACGCAGAACUCCGAUUGCGAAGGCAGCAUGCCGGCUUCCGACUGACGCUGAAGCACGAAAGCGUGGGGAUCGAACAGGAUUAGAUACCCCCGUAAUA